rnacentral:rRNA from 1 species
GACGAACGCUGGCGGCGUGCUUAACACAUGCAAGUCGAACGGAAAGGCCCUGCUUUUGUGGGGUGCUCGAGUGGCGAACGUGCGAGUAACACGUGAGUAACCUGCCCUUUACUUUGGGAUAACUUCAGGAAACUGGGGCUAAUACCUGAUAGGAGCUCCUGCUGCAUGGUGGGGGUUGGAAAGUUUCGGCGGUUGGGGAUGGACUCGCGGCUUAUCAGCUUGUUGGUGGGGUAGUGGCUUACCAAGGCUUUGACGGGUAGCCGGCCUGAGAGGGUGAACGGCCACAUUGGGACUGAGAUACGGCGCAGACUCCAACGGGAGGCAGCAGUGGGGAAUAUUGCACAAUGGGCGGAAGCCUGAUGCAGAAACGCCGCGUGCGGGAAGACGGCCUUCGGGUUGUAAACCGCUUUAGCCUGUGACGAAGCGUGAGUGACGGUAAUGGGUAAAGAAGCACCGGCUAACUACGUG